rnacentral:rRNA from 1 species
GGCCUAACACAUGCAAGUCGAGCGGUAGCACAGGGAGCUUGCUCUCUGGGUGACGAGCGGCGGACGGGUGAGUAAUGUCUGGGAAACUGCCUGAUGGAGGGGGAUAACUACUGGAAACGGUAGCUAAUACCGCAUAACGUCUUCGGACCAAAGUGGGGGACCUUCGGGCCUCACGCCAUCAGAUGUGCCCAGAUGGGAUUAGCUAGUAGGUGGGGUAAUGGCUCACCUAGGCGACGAUCCCUAGCUGGUCUGAGAGGAUGACCAGCCACACUGGAACUGAGACACGGUCCAGACUCCUACGGGAGGCAGCAGUGGGGAAUAUUGCACAAUGGGCGCAAGCCUGAUGCAGCCAUGCCGCGUGUGUGAAGAAGGCCUUCGGGUUGUAAAGCACUUUCAGCGAGGAGGAAGGGUAGUGUGUUAAUAGCACAUUACAUUGACGUUACUCGCAGA